rnacentral:rRNA from 1 species
UACGUAGGGGGCUAGCGUUGUCCGGAUUUAUUGGGCGUAAAGAGCGUGUAGGCGGCCAGGUAGGUCUGCUGUGAAAACUCGAGGCUCAACCUCGAGAUGUCGGCGGAAACCAUCUGGCUAGAGUGUGGCAGAGGGGGGUGGAAUUCCAGGUGUAGCAGUGAAAUGCGUAGAGAUCUGGAGGAACACCGAUGGCGAAGGCAGCCCCCUGGGCUAACACUGACGCUCAUGCACGAAAGCGUGGGGAGCAAACAGG